CUCCUACUCCCUCCGUCCCAAAAUUUUUGUCUUAAAUUUUCCUAGAUAUGGAUGUACUUAAUACUAAAACGUGACUUGAUGUAUCCGUUUUUAGACAAAUCUAAGACAAGAAUUUUGGGAUGGAGGGAGUAUUUC
rfam:Triticum aestivum genome assembly, contig: Triticum_aestivum_CS42_TGACv1_scaffold_500318_6BL